rnacentral:rRNA from 1 species
GAUGAACGCUGGCGGCGUGCCUAAUACAUGCAAGUCGAGCGAACGGACGAGAAGCUUGCUUCUCUGAUGUUAGCGGCGGACGGGUGAGUAACACGUGGAUAACCUACCUAUAAGACUGGGAUAACUUCGGGAAACCGGAGCUAAUACCGGAUAAUAUUUUGAACCGCAUGGUUCAAAAGUGAAAGACGGUCUUGCUGUCACUUAUAGAUGGAUCCGCGCUGCAUUAGCUAGUUGGUAAGGUAACGGCUUACCAAGGCAACGAUGCAUAGCCGACCUGAGAGGGGGAUCGGCCACACUGGAACUGAGACACGGUCCAGACUACUAAGGGAGGCAGCAGUAGGGAAUCUUCCGCAAUGGGCGAAAGCCUGACGGAGCAACGCCGCGUGAGUGAUGAAGGUCUUCGGAUCGUAAAACUCUGUUAUUAGGGAAGAACAUAUGUGUAAGUAACUGUGCACAUCUUGACGGUACCUAAUCAGAAAGCCACGGCUAACUACGUG